rnacentral:rRNA from 1 species
UACGAAGGGGGGCUAGCGUUGCUCGGAAUCACUGGGCGUAAAGCGCACGUAGGCGGCUUCUUAAGUCAGGGGUGAAAUCCUGGAGCUCAACUCCAGAACUGCCUUUGAUACUGAGGAGCUUGAGUCCGGGAGAGGUGAGUGGAACUCCGAGUGUAGAGGUGAAAUUCGUAGAUAUUGGGAAGAACACCGGUGGCGAAGGCGGCGCUCUGGACCGAGACUGACGCUGAGGAGCGAAAGCGUGGGGAGCGAACAGG